rnacentral:lncRNA from 1 species
CGUGGAGAUUCACGUGCUUACACGUGUAGCAGCAAGGCUCGCAUGGAGGCUGAGAUGAUCGUAAGUAGAACAGACUCGUAUGGAGAUCGACGUGUUGGUGUGUAAAAAAGCUUGCGUACAUGACGACUUACAUGCUCGUAAGUAAUGGAGUACGCGCGCUUGGCGACUAACGGGCUCGUAUGUAAAGGAGCAUGCACCCGAGGCGACUCACGUGCUCGUAUGUAAAGGAGCAUGCGCCAGCCGGCGACUUACGUUCUCGUAUGUAAAGGAGCAUGCGCCAGCCGGCGACGUACGUGCUCGUAUGUAAUGGAGCAUGCGUGCGUGGCGACUUACGUGCUCGUAUGUUGAGGAGCAUGCGUGUAUGACGACUUACGUGCUCGUAUGUAAAGGAGCAUGCGCCAGCCGGCGACUUACGUGCUCGUAUAUAAAGGAGCAUGCGCCAGCCGGCGACUUACGUGCUCAUAAGUAACGGAGCAUGCGCGGAUGACGACUUACGUGCUCGUAUGUUGAGGAGCAUGCGUGUAUGACGACUUACGUGCUCGUAAGUAAAGGAGCAUGCGCCAGCCGACGACUUACGUGCUCGUAUGUAAAGGAGCAUGCGCCAGCCGGCGACUUACGUGCUCGUAUGUAAAGGAGCAUGCGCCAGCCGGCGACUUACGUGCUCGUAUGUAAAGGAGCAUGCGCCAGCCGGCGACUUACGUGCUCAUAAGUAAUGGAGCAUGCGCGGAUGACGACUUACGUGCUCGUAUGUAAAGUAGUAUGCGCGCGUGGCGACUUACGUGCUUGUAUGUAAAGGAGCAUGCGCGUGUGGCGACUUACGUGCUCGUAUGUAAAGGAGCAGACUCGUGUAGAGACUGAG